CCUACGGGAGGCAGCAGUGAGGAAUAUUGGUCAAUGGCCGGAAGGCUGAACCAGCCAAGCCGCGUGAAGGUCAGUGCCCUAUGGGCGUUAAACUUCUUUUGUGCGGGAGCAAUAAUGGGCACGUGUGGCCAGACGAGAGUACCGUACGAAUAAGCAUCGGCUAACUCCGUGCCAACAGCCGCGGUUAUACGGGGGGUGCAAGCGUUAUACGGAUUUAUUGGGUUUAAAGGGUGCGUAGGCUGUGAGGUAAGUCAGCGGUGAAAUGCCCCCGCUCAAAGGGGUGAAGUGCCGUUGAUACUGCCGUUCUGGAGUGCGGAUGACGUGUGCGGAAUGUGUGGUGUAGCGGUGAAAUGCAUAGAUAUCACACAGAACACCGAUUGCGAAGGCAGCUUACG
rnacentral:rRNA from 1 species